CAUGUACUCCCUCCGUCCGCAAAUACUUGUCAUUGAAAUGGAUGUAUCUAGAUGUAUUUUAGUUCUAGAUACAUCCAUUUUCAUCCAUUUUGAUGACAAGUAUUUCCGGACGGAGGGAGUACAUG
rnacentral:pre_miRNA from 1 species